ensembl:lncRNA
GGAUCUGCUAAAGAGGAGAAACCAAUCACCAGUCCCUACUUUGCUGCUGCUGCUGCUUUUUUAAAAUUUUAGACAUAGAAGAGCCUAAUGGCCUGGUGGCCCUCCUCCACUUUCCAAACCUGAGGACAUCACUUUUUCUGUCUCCCAAAGGAUGAUAUCAGCGCCUUUAUCCCCGAAAGAUUCGCAUGCAAGCAGUAAUAUAUAUUUGUCUUUGACUGACUUCAUUCAGGAUGACAAUCUCGAGGUCCAUCCAUGUCGCGCCUAUAGAUGCCUCAGUGGUAAAGAAUCCACCUGCCAAUUCAGGAGUAGCAGGAGACGCAGAUUUAUAUUCUGGGUAGAGAAGAUCCUCUGGAGAAGGAAAUGGCAACACACUCCAGUAUUCUUGCCUGGGAAAUCCCAUGGACAGAGGAGCCUGUCGAGCUACAGUCCAUGGGGUCACAAAGACUUGGACACAACUGAGCAACUGAGCACGCAUAGACUACGUUAGUGAUAUUGCUCAUUGUAAACUUAAAAGACGCAUCUACCUCUGGGAAGUUAUUUAUGCUGUAGCUACAUAUUAAAAAUGCUUUGGUAACAUUGACCAAAUCGAUGCUGAAUCAUGGCCAGU